GACGAACGCUGGCGGCGCGCCUAACACAUGCAAGUCGAACGAGCGAGAGAGAGCUUGCUUUCUCGAGCGAGUGGCGAACGGGUGAGUAACGCGUGAGGAACCUGCCUCAAAGAGGGGGACAACAGUUGGAAACGACUGCUAAUACCGCAUAAGCCCACAGCUCGGCAUCGAGCAGAGGGAAAAGGAGUAAUCCGCUUUGAGAUGGCCUCGCGUCCGAUUAGCUGGUUGGUGAGGUAACGGCCCACCAAGGCGACGAUCGGUAGCCGGACUGAGAGGUUGAACGGCCACAUUGGGACUGAGAUACGGCCCAGACUCCUACGGGAGGCAGCAGUGGGGAAUAUUGGGCAAUGGGGGAAACCCUGACCCAGCAACGCCGCGUGAAGGAAGAAGGCUUUCGGGUUGGUAAACUCUUUACCUAGGACGAAGGAACGUGACGGUACC
rnacentral:rRNA from 1 species